rnacentral:lncRNA from 1 species
GUCCCAACCGUGCGGCCUCCGUGGCUGCCCCAAUGCGAAAGGAGUGAGUACCAAAACGUCCGGCCGGAAGCCCCAACUUACCUAGUCCGGACCGAAAAACCUUUGUAAACUGAAAUCGGGACAGGGAAGAACCAUCCGCAUGUACCAAGAAGGAACCCCCUACCGCCGGCCUCCGAGCCAUGUACUCCGCCACUGCAGCCACCGGGCACAAUACUGCGCCCGGCAGCGCCCAUAGUGUUACGUACCGACCCACGCCGCGGACGUCUGUUUUGGAUCUACCCAGAUGCACAACCACCUUACCCUCCAAAACACGGACCCCCGAGGCCUGCAGACCCCCGGGCAUGACCCUACUGGCACUCACUAGCUCCCCCACGCGGAACGUCCCGAAGAAUGCCAAGAGAAAAGCCGCUCUGAACAAAGAGACCUCGAACCCGUUGAAACAAAUUUCCGGCAACCGACCCACCAAAUCCCCCAACACCCGUACAGACACCGGACGCCGAGAGUCACAUGACCUGCGGCCCUUUCGAUAACCCUUUAACGCCUGCCGAACUAGGAAGGUCUUGGUCAGAUCCUCCGUCCCGCGCCACCGGAACCAGAAUGCCAUUGCCGCCAUGGACCUGUCGACCACAGCCGGGGACGCCCCCUUUGCCAGCAAUUGACAGGUGUACCACAGAAAAGCGUCCUGCAGCGCAUCCCCACGUAAGUCAUGAUCCAACCCGUCUAAUGACCGUUCCCAAGAGACCUUACUGUAGGAGGCCCAUGUGGCCGGUGCCAGCGAAGCCUUCACAAGUCCCCCAAGCAGGACGCUCCCAGCUGCCAUAUCUCGUCCGGGCAUGUCUGCCCCUCCUUCAAUGCUCCUGGCGCCAUCGUCCAAAAUCGGGACCACUGAAAAUGAGACAGAGCGUCAGCCACCUCAUUCAGGUACCCAGGGACAUGACGCGCGCGAAACACAACAUUCCGUGACAUACACAUUAACACAAAGCGCCGCAGCAACCUAACCACCGGCUUAGAGGCAGCCGAUUGAUUAUUCACCGCGUGCACCACCGCCAUGUUGUCCGAGAAAAAGACCACUUUCUGGUCCCGGAGCCCCUCGCCCCACAGUGCCAUUGCAACGACCAACGGGAAUAAUUCCAGAAAAGCCAGGUUGCGCAUGACCGGGCUGGACCCCCACGUCUCCGGCCACUGCUCCGCGCACCAUCUCCCGCCGAAGUAGGCUCCGAAGCCCACACUACCCGACGCAUCCGUGAAGAGCUCCAGCUCCGCCGCCGACUUACCCGCCUGCCGGAAAAACACCGUCCCGUUGAAAUCCUGCAGGAAGGCAUCCCAAACGCCCAAAUCAGCCCUCAUGGCUGCCGACACCCGUAUGAAGUGGUGUGGGGAUCGAACCCCUGCCGUAGCAGCCGCCAGGCUGCGGCUGAAAACCCUCCCCAUAGGAAUUACACGGCAUGCAAAGUUCAGCAUCCCGAUCAGCGACUGCAGUUGCCGCAGCGUAACCUUGCGCGCAACGGUCACCGCAGCCACUGCCUCCCUGAGCCCCUCCAGCUUGUCCCGAGGCAGCCGGCAUUCACCCAAGAUUGAAUCUAUUUCCAACCCCAGGAAACUAAGGCACGUCGCCGGGCCCUCCGUCUUAUCCGCUGCCAGCGGCACCCCGAAGUGGCCCGCCACCCAUUCCAUGGUCCUAAGCAGUUGCUGGCAUGCCGAGGAGGCAGCCGGCCCCACGCAAAAGAAAUCGUCCAAGUAGUGCACUACUGAACGGUUCCCCGCCUCCACCCGCACCACCCAUUCGAGAAAAGUACUAAAUUUCUUGAAAUAGAAACAUAGAAACAUAGAAUGUGACGGCAAGAACAAUUCGGCCCAUCUAGUCUGCCCAAUUUUCUAAAAACUUUCAUUAGUCCCUAGCCUUAUCUUAUAGUUAGGAUAGCCUUAUGCCUAUCCCAUGCAUGCUUAAACUCCUUUACUGUGUUAACCUCUACCACUUCAGCUGGAAGGCUAUUCCAUGCAUCCACUACCCUCCACUACCCUCUCAGUAAAGUAAUACUUCCUGAUAUUAUUUUUAAACCUUUGUCCCUCUAAUUUAAGAUUAUGUCCUCUUGUUGUGGACAUAGUCUUGCUGCCUCGGGACAAGCAUGAAAUGGAACAGCCCAUAGGGAGGCACAAGUCCACGAAAUAUUUCCCCUCGAAAAAACAUCCCAGCAGGUGGUGACAGUCCGGGUGGACCGGCAGCAGCCGAAACGCCGCCUCAACAUCCACUUUAGCCAUAAGCGCCCCAUGCCCGGCCCGUUUAACCAGCUCGACCGCCCGGUCGAAUGAUGCAUACGAGACCGAGCACAAGUCCUUAUCAAUACCGUCAUUCACCGACUCCCCUUUUGGGUAGGAGAGGUGGUUAAUGAGCCGGAACUUCCCCGGCUCCUUCUUUGGCACCACCCCGAGAGGGGAAACCCGGAGGCCCUCCAAUGGGGGUACCGUAAACGGGCCCGCCAUCCGCCCUAGCGCAACCUCCUUGUCUAGUUUUUCCCGUACCACCCCCGGGAAAUCCGCCACCGACUUCAGGUUGCGCAACCCCCCCGAUCCCCCCCGCUCCCGGAAGGGGAUAAAGAAGCCCCGCCCGAAGCCUUCCCGAAGUACCGAGGCAUCAGCCCUGUUACCGUAGCGGCUUAGCCACGGCUCCAUCGCGUCUAGCCUCACCGGUGUGAAGCCCCGGGGCAGGGGAAGCACUCCCUCCGGCCCCGGCGGCCGCUCCGGCGGUUCCCGCCUUCCCUUUUUUGAAACAGCGAUUGAGCCCAUGAGCACCCCCGCAACCGGAGCACUCAUGCUUAAAUCGACACGCAUUUCCCCAUUUGCACUGGCCCUCAUUGUAGAGCCAGCAGAAGCCCUUUUGUAAAGCGGCCGACGAGGCGGACUGCCCCUUCGCGCCGGCCGAGUUUUGAAAGGGCUGCGCCUUCUGAGCCAUCAUUAGCUUCAUCCAGAGAGGCAGAUCCAUCUGAUCCCACCUCAUACCCGGGUUAGCCGCCAGUCGCUGCCUAAACUGUUCAUCGUACCGCCACCAUGCCAGCCCCCCAUAGGUGCGGUAUGCUUCCCAAAUGCCGUCCAAGUAGCAAAACAGGGACGAGCAUAAUCCCGGCGAUUUUUCACCGAGCACGCUGGCCAGCACGCAAAACGCCCUUAACCAGUUACCAAAGGAUUUUGGAAUCUUGCGAUACCGCUUCCUCUUCUCCUC